rnacentral:pre_miRNA from 18 species
UCUCCUCUCAGGGAAGCUUUUUGCUCGCGUUAUGUUUCUCAUCUGAAUAUAAGACGAACAAAAGGUUUGUCUGAGGGCAG